rnacentral:rRNA from 1 species
CGAGAGGACCGGGACGGACGAACCUCUGGUGUGCCAGUUGUACCGCCAGGUGCACUGCUGGUUAGCUACGUUCGGCAGGGAUAACCGCUGAAAGCAUCUAAGCGGGAAGCUCGCUUCAAGAUGAGGUGUCUCACCGGGUCAACCGGGUAAGGCCCCCGCCCAGACCAGCGGGUUGAUAGGCCGGAAGUGGAAGCACCGCAAGGUGUGGAGCUGACCGGUACUAACAGGCCGAGGGCUUGACCACACACACCC